rnacentral:lncRNA from 1 species
GUAAUCUUCAAACCAUCCUGCAAAGUGGAUGUUAUCACCAUUUUACACAGGAGAAAACAGAGUCUCGGAGAAAACAAGGACCUUGUUCAAGACUACACAGUCAGAAAGCGGUGGAGGCGGGGCUCAAACUCAGUCCUGGAAAUCCCCAGUCAGCCGUCCGCCCUGGGCCGAUGCGUCAGACCGAGAGGAGAACGGAGGUCGGGCCCUGGGGAGCCAGCGCUGGGGAAACAUGAACGCUGUGUUUAAAGGGGAGAAGGCACCCGGGAAGCACAGUGGUCCCCAAUCCGCGGCUUCACUUUCUGCGCUUUCCGGUACCGUGGUCAACGGCAGUCUCAAAAUAUUGAACGGAAAAUUUCAGAAAUAAACAAUUCAUAAGUUUUAAAUUGUGCACCUUUCCAAGUAGCAUGAUGAAACCUCGUGCCGUGCCACUCCGUCUGUCCGGGACGUGGGUUGUCCCUUUAUCCAGUGGAUCCACACUGUACACCUGCCUGCCUGUCAGUCGUU